rnacentral:rRNA from 1 species
UACGUAGGGUGCAGGCGUUAAUCGGAAUUACUGGGCGUAAAGCGUGCGCAGGCGGUUUCUUAAGUCAGAUGUGAAAGCCCCGGGCUUAACCUGGGAAGUGCGUUUGAAACUGGGAGACUUGAGUGUGGCAGAGGGGGGUGGAAUUCCACGUGUAGCAGUGAAAUGCGUAGAUAUGCGGAGGAACACCGAUGGCGAAGGCAAUCCCCUGGGCCUGCACUGACGCUCAUGCACGAAAGCGUGGGGAGCAAACAGG